UUUACCUUCUGUUACUGUGAUGAGUAUCGGAACAGUGAAAGAUAUCGAUAUUGCCGACAUCGACUGGGUGUUUCAGUUUAACGCACCUUGGUGUGCAUCGGACUUCAUUCACCGUUGUGGAAGAACUGCCCGCAUCGGUAAUCGGGGAACAACACUAGCCUUUCUCCAACCAGUUGAAGAGCCUUACGUCCACUUCAUUGACAUCAACCAAAAUAAGUUGAAGUUAACCCAUACGACAGUCAACAGAACGAUCGCGCAUUGAUGGACAAGGCGGACAAGGCCACUAGAGCGUUUGUUUUUUCAUUCACUCUCACGUCAAACACGAAUAUUCCGUUCUACUUCGAGUAAAAGUUUAUUGAUUUAGUUGACUUGUGUCAUUCACCGUCAUUUGGUCGUAAGUUCCGGUCUCCUUAAUACACUCCUGAAAAUGCCCCAACUUAACAAUUGAAAAACGGAUUUCUUUUAUCCGAUGACCAUUGAUCUCAACUUAAUCGCCUACAAGGACAACGAGGCUGCUGCACGUGCCGACGAAGCGUGCUAGACAACACCUGAAACUGACGAGUUUAUUUACAUAUUUUGUACCGAUAAUAAUUCCCCUCCCAUCACAAAAUCAAGGCUACAACAUCAAACAGUUACAUUAACACGUUGAAAGUGAAACUGUAAAGAAAUGAACGACUUUAUCUAAUAAAACAUUGAUUACAAAAAAA